CUAGCCGUAAACGAUGGGCACUAGGUGUGGGGAGUCAACUCUCUCCGUGCCGCAGCUAACGCAUUAAGUGCCCCGCCUGGGGAGUACGGCCGCAAGGCUAAAACUCAAAGGAAUUGACGGGGGCCCGCACAAGCAGCGGAGCAUGUGGCUUAAUUCGAAGCUACGCGAAGAACCUUACCAGGGUUUGACAUAUAGGUGAAGCGGCGGAAACGUCGUGGCCGAAAGGAGCCUAUACAGGUGG
rnacentral:rRNA from 1 species